UGAGGUGGGUAGUUUAACUGGGGCGGUUGCCUCCUAAAGAGUAACGGAGGCGCACAAAGGUUGACUAUCUCCGGAUGGAAAUCGGAGAGAUAGUGUAUUCGCAUAAGUCAGCCUGACUGAGAGACUUACAAGUCGAUCAGACACGAAAGUGGGUGAAAAUGAUCCGGCAUUAACGAGUGGAAGUGAUGUCGCUCAA
rnacentral:rRNA from 1 species